rnacentral:lncRNA from 1 species
AAUUCAAGAGGCAUGGCGGACUAAAGGAAUUUUGAGGAAACGACAUCAUUUGCUUCACUAAUACACACUCUAUGUCCAAAACACUUAGCCAAAAUUUCAGACACUUUCUCCCUUUCUCUUUGUCCUCCUCACUUGCCCUAAAAUGAACUCCUCUGUAUCAAGCUCACACUACCAAAUCCAUCAUGAACUGAAGUUUUCCAUUGUCAUCAAUUUGGCAACUUAUCGAGCUCGCACCACCAACAUCCCUAAUUCGACUGUUGCACUGGCUUGGUGGCAAGAAAUCAGAAACUAGGGCUUGAAAAUUUGGGUGAUAGCUGGAGUUUAGAGCUUGAAGCUUGGGAAAAAUGAGAAGUGAGGGAUUGAAGGUAUAGUUUGAG